CUUUUCUUCUUAUUCACCUUUCCCCUUUCCAUUUUUGAACCCUAGACACAGGACACGAAGGAGAGGAGAAGAUCUGGACGAUCUGGAAGAGUGAGGCGACGAUACAGGAUGAAGGAGAGAGACGAUCUGGACGAUCUGGAAGAGUGAACUGACGAGAUGUCAAGUUCAACUGUUAACGGAGGUACCUCAGAUCAGUUGACGUUCAACAACAGAAAUUGCCCUAAAUGUCAUAAGAAAGCAACUAUUCAAAUUUCGGAGACGGAACAAAACAGAAACAAAUUAUUUUAUUGUUGUAAAAAUUGCGGCGAUUUUAUGGGACGGUGCUUGCCUACAAAAUCACAAGGUAGACGUGAAGGAGUAGUGCAAAUAGAAAAUAUGUCAACUGUCACCGAACAACAACUUCGACUUAUGAACGAACAACUUCGAUUUCAAAGCGAAGAACUUCAAUUUAUGAGGGCGAAGAUGCUUAAGUUGGAAACAGACAUAAAUCAAAAUUCGAGUCGUAUUUAUGGGUUGUGUAUCUUGCUUGUAAUUGGGAUCGUGUUAGUUAUAAAAAUGUAAUAGUUUUGUAAUCUUUGCGACCCAUGGGAGCUAGUGGCAGUUUGUAUGGUUAUGUGGUUAGGUAAACUAUAUCUUUGUAUGGUUAACUAGACUUGUUAAUUUUGUAUGGUUAUAUGGUUAUGUAAUGGCACUUGGUUAUUUUGUUCAUUUUGUCCA